CGCUUUUUUCGCCCAAGCGGAGCUCGACCGCAAACAGAAGUAAUAGUGGAUUUUAUUGAUGCUUGCAGAGAGCAUUACGGUGUCGAGUCAAUUUGCAAGGAAUUGCCGAUUGCACCA
rfam:Pseudoalteromonas lipolytica SCSIO 04301 genomic scaffold Scaffold1, whole genome shotgun sequence.